AAAGGUCUUGUGCAUGGUCCUACCAACCUGCCUCAGUCUCUCCCUCUCUGUCCCAGGGCAUGUUUCCAUUUGGCCACAUGGCAGACGAAGAAUUGUAGAUUGAUGGAAAAGAUGAACUGCUUUUGGUCUGUCAGUCUCAGGAAGGUGCUGCACAUCAUCAUCUCUCUCGACUCCCUGGCACCAGACCACUUCUACUGCAGGCUCCUACUAAGGGGAUGUUGAAUAAUGCUGGAGAUGAGAUUGUGGUUGAAUGGAGUUUGCCACUAAGUAUUUUGGAGAACUAAAAGGAAGGAUCCGAGACACUGCAGGACAUCUUUGUUAAUUUCUGCUGUCUC